rnacentral:lncRNA from 1 species
CAGAUCACUCUGACCCUGGCUUUUCUGCCUCCCUCCUCCAUUUGAGGAUCCUUGUAAUUACUUUGUGCCUACCUAGGUACCAGAUCAUAGUCCAGGCCUGGCAAAGAGCAGGCACUCAGAGAGUACUCCUGGAACUGGAUGAAGCAGAGAAAGGCUUCCCCAAGGUGCCCUCAGAUCUAGUUCAAAUGAUCAUACCAAACCACCUCAACAAUCCACAGCUUAGUUUGCUGCACAGUUUACUGUCAUGUAGAAGAAUCUCUGUACCACGAGUGACACGCAGCACUAUACUGUAUUGCUACCCUGUGAGGCAAUUCUAGAAUAACUGACAAAAUUAACCUCAAGGAAAAUAAAGGAUUUAUCUAGGAUGAUUUACAGACUUCAAAAUUAAACGAAAGAGAAUGCAUGGCAACCACCAACAGCCCACCACACACACUCAGCCCCUCUCCUGGAAAGGCUGGGAGGUGUGCGGAUGCUAUGACUGGCACUGUUUAGAGACAAACUGCCCUUGAAUAUAGAUAUACG